rnacentral:rRNA from 1 species
AUUGAACGCUGGCGGCAGGCUUAACACAUGCAAGUCGAGCGGGGUGAUGGUGCUUGCACUAUCACUUAGCGGCGGACGGGUGAGUAAUGCUCAGGAAUCUGCCUAUUAGUGGGGGACAACAUCUCGAAAGGGAUGCUAAUACCGCAUACGUCCUACGGGAGAAAGCAGGGGAUCACUUGUGACCUUGCGCUAAUAGAUGAGCCUAAGUCGGAUUAGCUAGUUGGUGGGGUAAAGGCCUACCAAGGCGACGAUCUGUAGCGGGUCUGAGAGGAUGAUCCGCCACACUGGGACUGAGACACGGCCCAGACUCCUACGGGAGGCAGCAGUGGGGAAUAUUGGACAAUGGGGUGAACCCUGAUGCAGCCAUGGCGCGUGUGUGAAGAAGGCCUUAUGGUUGUAAAGCACUUUAAGCGAGGAGGAGGCUCUUUUGGUUAAUACCCAAGAUGAGUGGACGUUACUCGCAGAAUAAGCACCGGCUAACUCUGUGCCAGCCGCCGCGGUAA